GGGGGUGUAGCUCAGUGAUAGAGUACUUGCUUAGCAUACACAAGCAAUCCUGAGUUCUAUCCCCAGCACCCCCC
rfam:Ictidomys tridecemlineatus contig031697, whole genome shotgun sequence.